AUGCCUCCGCCAGAUCAUCUUCCGCGACGUCCUGUUCUCCUCGCUCGAAGCGGCGCUCAGCCGCGUCGACUCUCCCGCGGUUUCGAUCCUGGAAAUCCACGUCCCCUACGAGUGCAUGCCCAACCCUUUCCCCGACCCCGCCAGCGUCGACUCGCUGCUGCGUGCCGCCGCGCGGCUCGCGCCGGAGGAGUUCGUCUUGGCCCUCCCCGGGCACUUAUGCAGCCCUUCCGUCGACGUCGACCUGUCUUGCUUCCACCGCACCACCUCCAUCGAGCUGGACUCAUGUCUCCUCUUCCUCCGUGUGCCGACCGGCGUCGACUUCCCCGCGCUCGAGACACUGACCUUGUCGGGCAGGAUCCCAGAUCUCGACCCCUUGCUCUCCUGCUGCCCGCGCUAGCGCACACUCGAGCUCAGAAGCAUUGCACACGACACGAGCGACCUGAGCGUCAGCUCGGCGUCGCUGCAGGAGCUCGUCGUGGACCGCUCAAGCAAGCGGACAUGCCGCGUCAACAUCGUCGCCCCCGUGCUUAA
rnacentral:rRNA from 1 species